CUGGAACACCUCCUUUCUGGAGAAGCAGAACCUGGAACAAGACUGGAGAAGGCCGAGUUCUCUCUUGGUACUACACGCUUCGUUCAAUAUAAAAAAGAAGGAAAACAACCCGCCGCAGGCACGAUUUGAAGAAUAGUCCUAUAGCUCAGUAGGUUAGAGCGCUACACUGAUAAUGUAGAGGUCGGCAGUUCAACUCUGCCUGGGACUACUCCGAAUGAGGGGGAUUAGCUCAGCUGGCUAGAGCAUCUGCCUUGCACGCAGAGGGUCAACGGUUCGAAUCCGUUAUUCUCCACGCAUCCCGCGAGGGAAAGAGGAUCUUUGACAUGUUGGACAUCAAAAAGAAGAAACAAGUAGAGCGAGCUUAAGAUAUAUCAACCCGUACGUAUGUACGAGGUGAGAGAAAGUAAGCAAGGGCGCACGGUGAAUGCCU
rnacentral:tRNA from 1 species